rnacentral:ncRNA from 1 species
CCUUGUAUCGGUACGUCCAUUGACUCGAAUGAUCCAGUGCUGAUGGCAGGAUAACUUAAUAAAAACAGCUACCUACUGGAUAUGGAAGAUGCAAUCCCAGAACGGAGGAAAUUCCUACAGGGCUGCAGUUAGAUUUCUAUUACCUUUUUUGAAGUGAUCAA